GAGAAAGCUUUAUGCACCAUUGGAUGAGCCCGCACUUGAUUAGUUUGUUGGUAGGGUAAUGGCCUACCAAGACUAUGAUCAAUAGCUGAUUUGAGAGGAUGAUCAGCCACAUUGGGACUGAGACACGGCCCAAACUCCUACGGGAGGCAGCAGUGGGGAAUCUUGCACAAUGGAGGAAACUCUGAUGCAGCGAUGCCGCGUGAGUGAAGAAGGCCUUUGGGUUGUAAAGCUCUUUCGUCGGGGAAGAAUAUGACUGUACCCGAAUAAGA
rnacentral:rRNA from 1 species